AUGUUACGCCUCCUAGGCUCCGCAAAUAGACCCACAAUACAUGAGCACUACGCUUUAUUUUGCUAAAAUAACCAAUCAAAACUCUUUUCGUGGUUACGUCAUAGGUAGCGUAUACAGUCGGCGCAUGCGUCCCACGAAGCAGCGUAGCUACCAGCUACUCGGCAUCGGCAAAGAUGGCGGCGGUUUCUGAUUUGAAAGAUGAUGUUUUUUUCCCUGAGGUGGGAAUAAAAAGUAGUUACGUGACUGAGUCACAGCUAGUGUGAGCAGGUCACGUCUACACCUCCACCAGGGUUGUCUUGACAGAUAGAUAUUCAUACCGGAAAUUCAGUCAUCAGUGGUAUUUCAAAUGUUGAAACUAGCAAAAUGAGACUUUCACAAGAGCUUGGCAAACAGGUAAAAUAGCUGAAUUCCGUUUAAUUUUGGCCACAAUCUACCCAUUGUAGGCUACGCUUAGGUGAGUCUGGGAACUCAUACGAACCCCCUUGGAUUCAUCUGUUUUGCGUGCUGUGGGGACAGAAGCUAGUAACUAGCUGUUACCUGUUACUAGAUGUAACAGUGUGGGACUCAACAACAUAAGCAUGGCCGGAACAAGCGGAACAGCGUCUUUUAACCAGACUUUGAAUGGAAGUGUCGUUUUGAUGAACAGCCGUGCUGACAAUACGCGCACCUGUUGACAGCUGCGUCCGUAACACGCGGUCCACUUCCACUUAUGUCAACAACGGACCAAAUGAAGGGAAACAUUACAGCCUUUCCCGCAAACACCCAGUGCAAUCAUUAGAACUUGUCGACCAGUGGGUUUAGUCCAGCUGCAGUGACCAUCAGGAGCACGACCGUUUUGCAGAACCCGAGGACUCCUGUCCCCUCCACCAUCGCUGUCACUCCCACUGGCGAUAGAAAAGCUAUUGCGCCACAGGCGUUGACUCCUCGACUCUCCCAGCCUCAACCAAAUGUCCAAAACGUCCAAUUCCCUGCAGUCUCGGAGCAGCUCAGACUGAAAAAGAAGACCAAAGAGAUGCAACAGCAGGAGCUGGCGCAGAUCAGGCAGCGGGAAGCCAACUUAACAGCACUGGCAGCAAUCGCUCCCAGAAAAAAGCGGAAAAUGGUUCAAGCGCCGAGGGAAUAGCGUCGGGUUCUAGCCAACCCGAGGGCUCCAGUGGAGGUAGACAGCUAACGCGGCAGCGCAUUACCAGAGUUAACCUGCCAGACCUACACUUUUGCCUGGGGAAUGAAAGAGGUGAUGGCCACUUGUGCCUGCGCUAUAAAAGCUUCCUAAAGUAGCACUUUUAGCAAAAUGACAAUCCUUACAUAGCUUUCUGAAGCAGAGUUAGAUGACUUUCUUUGCUUCUCUUUGAUCCCUCACUGCCAUGAUGAAACAUCCGUCAGCAGGAAGAGAAUUAUCUGGAACAUUGAAGAGACGGCACAUUUAAAAAGGCCUUUUGUACUUUCAGUGAUGGAGCAAAUAUCAGUGCGGUGCCCUGAUUUCAGCAUUCCCUUUAGCUGUCACACUCACCCACACUUCAGCCACACCGCUCAAAAAGCAAGGAAAAAAAAAAGUCCGUAGAGCUGAGCACUUGAGAUGCCAAAGGCCUUAAGAGCGGCAAAGCAUCAUUUUUCUGCAACACCGCUAAUUUUGUGAAUGUGAAUGUUAAAGCUUUUUAUCUACCAUCAUAAUUGGAGCCUAUUUUAGAUUACAUUUCUGUGAUUUAUCCCCCGCACACCCCCCCACCCCCAAUACCAGACGUACUAGUCGUCCUUUUGUCUGCUGAGCUGCCGUCUAAUCCAGUCCAUGCCAGCAGGAUUUUUCAUGGGAAUGUUCUUUAUCUUUUGUGUCCAAGCCAAAAGAAUCACAGAAAAAAAAGAGGCAGAAAUUCAAAAAUGAGGUUGACAUUGUUUUAUGUUUCCAGGCUGAUGUUGCUAAUUAGCAGAGCUAGAGACGUCCUUCUCAUCAAUGUCAAUCAAAGUGCUGACAAAUCUGCAAUGUGAAGAUACUUAGUCAUCGCAAAAACAUUUUAUUGCACUUAGUCCAUUAGGUUGGAUUUUUACAUUUUUAUGUUUAGAAAAUGGAAAAAUGCACAUUGAAAGUAUGUUUUAAUAAAAUUACUCAAUCAGAUAAACUUUUCAUUUAGUGGACAUGCAAAUAUUUGUAUUUUACACUGAAGGUUUGCAGUCAUCAAGCUGCUGGCAACAUCUGAAUGUAGCCUCCCGCCACUCCGACCACCCCACUGCGUCUUUGACCAAAGCCGCACCCCUCACAAACGUGAAAGUGCACAACAAGUGCACCGUAUGAAAAUUCACAGUAAAUAGGCUGAUCUUAUCCAUUCCUAGUGGUUUGAUUUUGCAAACCCUCCUUUGUUUUUUUAAUGUGUCCCCUUUAAAUGUUUUGAAUGUAUUACUGUAUGAAGAUAUAUUUGCUGUUUAUAAAUUCACAAGUUGAUGUAACCAGA